GUUCCACUGCCUGCUGUGGUCAGCCAGCAACAGGUAUUGCUGCUCACGACAGUACAAGACGGCUAUGUCCACUUCGUCCUCUGGACUGUAUUACUACACGUACUUACUACACAGUAUACUAUACCUACUACACCUACAGUCCCAAUAGCAGCGGUGGUCUUGGUGCAGGAGGCAUAGGUGGAAUAAUUGCAUGCGUGGUAACACUAGCCGGAUGUGGCGCGGCUUGUCAUAGAAUUUGGCGCCGAGAGACCGACAGAGUGAAAUUGUGCAGAUGUUGUGCACCAUGUCAGAAAAUGUGCUGCAAUUGUGAAGAAGCCGGUGAAAUAACUUUUCAAAACUCCAUGGAAAAUCAACAGUCUGCUAUUUCUACAAUUACGCUAUAGAUAAUACAGACAGUACUGUCAAGAUAACCAGACUUUCUACAAUUACACCAUAGAUAAUACAGACAGUACUGUCAAGAUAACCAGACUUUCUACAAUUACGCCAUAGAUAAUACAGACAGUACUGUCAAGAUAACCAGACUUUCUACAAUUACACCAUAGAUAAUACAGACAGUACUGUCAAGAUAACCAGACUUUCUACAAUUACGCUAUAGAUAAUACAGACAGUACUGUCAAGAUAACCAGACUUUCUACAAUUACGCUAUAGAUAAUACAGACAGUACUGUCAAGAUAACCAGACUUUCUACAAUUACCCUAUAGAUAAUACAGACAGUACUGUCAAGAUAACCAGACUUUCUACACUUACCCUAUAGAUAAUACAGACAGUACUGUCAAGAUAACCAGACUUUCUACAGUCUGCAACAAACCCGUGACACUUUUGAUAAGGUUUGAUCAAAUAUGAGUUUACUUUAUAUAUGUAUUCGAUGGCUAUGUAUUUACAUUCUGUGUUAUAAUUGCCGAUAUUUGUUUAUUCAGUGGCGUCCUAAUUUAUUUUAAAGAGAUCAUCAAUAAAAUAAGAUUUUCACAGGGAUUGUGUAUAGUAAAUAAAACUAUAAGGAUUAACUUAAAUUUAUUUUCAUGUUUUACAGCUAAAGCACAAAUAGCAAAAGGGUUUUUUGUGUUAUAUUCCAAAACAUAGAAAAUACAUUAACGGACAAUUAAACAUGGCUGCCUGAUAUUGUCCAUAUCAAUAGACCUAGAGAGAGCUUUCUAAAUGUCUUAGAAUGUAGUCAUAUACGCCACCAUGAAAACCAUUUGUACGAUUCCUACACACGUAUGUUUAAUAUAUACCGAAAUAAAGCUGUUAAAGCCA